rnacentral:misc_RNA from 1 species
GUUUCUAGUUCUCUACUUUCUUCUUAUUCCUCUCCUUUAUGAAGUGAAUUUGAACCCUAUCAAAAUUCAAUCAAUCUGUCCUCGUUUACUCGCUAAACUUAUCUCAAUGGAUUCUCAAGUUUUGGUAGCGCUCGCUCUUUCUCUUGUGGGUGGAUUGAGCACUUCUAUAGGUGCACUUUUUGUAAUUCUUAAUCAGGCAAUCAGGCUCCCAAUCUAAAGAUGCUUGGGCUUUUACAGGGCUUUGCUGCAGGCCUAAUGUUGAGCAUAUCAUUUCUAGAUCUGGCUCAUAAUGCUAUGAACUCAAUUGGCUUCUUAAAAGCCAACCUUUGGUUUUUUGGAGGUGUUGUAUUCUUCGCUAUUGUUGCAAGGUUUAUCCCAGAACCAACAGUAAUCCCUGGUUCAGAUACUAAAAGUAAAAAGACAAAUGGGGAUGAUGGAGGAAAGGACAUCAUGAAAAAGCAUCGUCGCCAGGUUUUAUUUAGUGGCAUUAUUACAGCUAUUGGCAUAAGCUUGCACAAUUUUCCAGAGGGAAUGGCAGUGUUCCUUGGUUCAAUGAAGG